ACCUCAAUGAUCUAAAGGCUUAGGAUGCUUGCAUGGAAUGCUAGAGAUCCGGGUUCGAUCCCUGGCCAAGGUA
rnacentral:tRNA from 1 species